rnacentral:rRNA from 1 species
AACGAACGCUGGCGGCAUGCCUAACACAUGCAAGUCGAACGAGAUCUUCGGGUCUAGUGGCGCACGGGUGCGUAACGCGUGGGAAUCUGCCCUUUGGUUCGGAAUAACAGUUGGAAACGACUGCUAAUACCGGAUGAUGACGAAAGUCCAAAGAUUUAUCGCCAGAGGAUGAGCCCGCGUAGGAUUAGCUAGUUGGUGUGGUAAAGGCGCACCAAGGCGACGAUCCUUAGCUGGUCUGAGAGGAUGAUCAGCCACACUGGGACUGAGACACGGCCCAGACUCCUACGGGAGGCAGCAGUGGGGAAUAUUGGACAAUGGGCGAAAGCCUGAUCCAGCAAUGCCGCGUGAGUGAUGAAGGCCUUAGGGUUGUAAAGCUCUUUUACCCGGGAUGAUAAUGACAGUACCGGGAGAAUAAGCUCCGGCUAACUCCGUGCCAGCAGCCGCAGUAAUAC